GUUUCCGUAGUGUAGUGGUUAUCACGUCUGCUUCGCGCGUUGAAGGUACCCGGUUUGAGCCCGGGCGGAAACA